rnacentral:antisense_RNA from 1 species
AAGGCCCAUUGCCACUCCGGCAACAGCUCCUUGCAUCUCACCUUCACGAGCAAUUUCCGCUGUUCCGAUCCCGUGGGCAACCGUACCAAUCGAAAGCCCCCUUGCAAUGGGAUGGGUUACGUGUAGUUUGUUCAAGAGCCACGGUCCGAACAUAGCUCCGAUCAUUCCAGUAAUCAUGACAAAUGCAGCAACUAGAAUCCCAUCAGCCCGAAUUAUUUUUGCAACUUCAGAUGCAAACGCG